rnacentral:rRNA from 1 species
GGGCUGCAGUAUAUUGACUGUACAAAGGUAGCAUAAUCAUUAGUCAUUUAAUUGAUGACUUGUAUGAAAGAUUGGAUGAAAUAUAAACUGUCUCUUUGUUAUUUAUAUAGAAUUUAAUUUUUUAAUUAAAAAGUUAAAAUAAAAUAAAAAGACGAGAAGACCCUAUAGAGUUUUAUAUUUAAGUUAAUUAAGGUUAUUUAUAAAAAUUUUAAUUAAAAUUAUUUUAAAUAUUUUGUUGGGGUGACAAAAAAAUAAAAAUAACUUUUUUUUAAAAUUAACAUAUAUAAGUGAUUUAAUGAUCCAAUAUUAUUGAUUAUAAGAAAAAAUUACCUUAGGGAUAACAGCGUAAUUUUUUUUUUUAGUUCAAAUAAAAAAAAGAGUUUGCGACCUCGAUGUUGGAUUAAGAUAAAAUUUAAAUG